rnacentral:rRNA from 1 species
CGUUAAAAGUUGCUGCAGUUAAAAAAGCUCGUAGUUGAACGUUCGGGUUCCGCGGGACGGGGCCGCCCCGCGAGGGACGGCGCCGCCCCGGGGCUCGUGAUAUCUUAUCUCGCCGCCCGUCGCGAGGCGGACGGAGGGAUGGAUGAGGUUACCUGGAAAAAAUCGGGGCGAUCUAGGCGGGCGAACCUCGCCAACGAACGAUCGGACAUGGGAUAACGGAAGAGGGCGUCGGCUCGACUUCGUCGGUUCCUCGGGCCGAGGCACGUACGGUGAAUAGGGAUAGUUGGGGCCGCUCGUAUUGAGUUGUCAGAGGUGAAAUUCUAGGAUUUACUCAAGACGAACUAAUGCGAAAGCAUUCGGCAAGGAUGUUUUCAUUAAUCAAGAACGAAAGUUGGGGAUCGAAGAUGAUCAGAUACCGUCGUAGUCUCAACCAUAAACUAUGUCAACCGAGGAUCCGGUAGCGUUACAUGGAUGACCUUCCGGGCACUCUGUGAGAAAUCAUAAGUAUUUGGUAGGUUCGGGG